AUAUACACACUCUGCAUUAUAUACACACUCUGCAUUAUAUACACAGAGUGUGUGUAUAUAAUGCAGAGUGUGUGUGU